rnacentral:lncRNA from 1 species
CUUUCUUAAGUAUGAUAGUCUUUGCAUCCUUGAUCCAUCUCCUCGAAAUAUGCUUUGAUUGAUACCAUUGUUGGACCAUGAGAGGGAGCCUCAUUAAAUUGGAUCACAUUGAACUAAAAGAGCAACCAUACAAAUGAGAUUGAACGACAAAUCUUCACCUAAAUUCUUCACCCAUUGAGUUUAUUGUUCUUGCAAAACUAAGUUUGGUUCAUGUUGGCUCCCUUCUCUCUAAGUUCCGUUCCUUUUUCCUCUUUUCUCUAGCACGACGGUGGCUCAAAGGGAUCACAAAAUAGCCGUAGGUAUGUAUUUUAUAGUCUUUGUAAAUUUUGAUUAUCUCUCUGUUCUAGUCAUUUUUAGAUAUAUAUAAUUGUGAUGUUGUAUGUUAUUAAAGUAAUGAAUGAAGUAAAAGGGGUAAUGAGAACGAUUAAUUUAGGAUUUGAAGAGUUGUUACAUGAUGGAAAAAGAUAUUUUGUUAUGAUUCUCCCAUUGUGUAUGUUAGUAUGUACGUGAGUAUUUGAAUUUGUCUUUUUAUCCAUCUAUUGUGAUACUUUGAAUUUUUUUUUAUUUUUUUACCGAAAUUUAGUUUCAUAACAAAGGGGUCUAUAUCUUUUCCCAACUCUAACAUAUGCCCAUAAAAAUCUGAAGUUUUAAAACCUUAAUUACUUGGUGAAUAUGCUAUCUAGGAUAGAGUGAAGAUUGAUAAACAUCCUUUAAUUUAUGUACAUCUAAUUAACAUUCAUAUGAGUCAAAGGUUGAUUGGAUGUAAACUUUCUCUCUUAUUUCUACUCAUAUUCCAUUUUGGACUAUGGAGAGACAUGUGGGAGCACAUUAGGUAUUAAAUGGAAAGAUGGGUGUCUACCUAUAGCUACUCUAAAGCAUAUUUUCUAUGGUCUCUAAUAUAAAUAAAAGUUGAGUUAGCAAAUUUAGUUCAAGGUUUGAAUCAAAUGCAUCCGUUUUCGUUGGCAGAUCUUGAACAUUUUUUUUCUAGGGCAUCCGUUUUUAUAGUGAAAUUAUGAAUUAGCUGGUGGUUUAUUUCCCUCGAACUACCGUAGAGAACGGUGGUUACCUCUUUUUUUGAGUAAAGUAUUAAUAAUACAAUGGAAAAUAUAAAAAAGGAAGCUAACGAGGAUCGAACCCAAACCCUUAGGGGGUUUCAAAAUUCAUCAAUCCACUGCGACAACAAUGUUCCAUUAGAUAUAUCAUGCAUAAUAUGAUAAUUAUAGGAAAGUUAGGGGAUGCAGUGGCACCUGCAGAUCUCCACUAAGAUCUGUCACUGGACACCAUAUUUGACUUUAUGAAACUAUUUAUUGAUAGAGUAAUGCACUCAUGAGUGAAUGCCCAAAGUGAAUCACUAGUGGCCUAAACUUUAAUAUAUUGGGCAUUACUUUCAUCAUUUCACACCUUAUGUUUGGGAUUUUUUUUAUGGUCACAAGAACAAAUAUAAAUCGUUUAAACACAUUCAUAAAAUAUUAAUUCUACUGUUGAGGAGAUUGGAGAGCGCUCAGAGCGGCAAUGCGCUAAAUGUCUAAGACCAGCUAAGAGAGAAACACCACACUCUGACCCAAAACCCUAAGGCACUGAGUUUAUGGGUCUCCUCUAUUGUGUGUGUGUGUGUGUGUGUGUAUCCAAUGUUUGCUCCAUUUCUAGUUGAUGUGGGACAUUAUCACUCGCACUUGAUUCCCAACAAACUCCCCCUCAAGUUUGACUCCCACAUCACUAGGACGAUCCAACUAGGAUUCCGCUCCCACUCCCCCAGCAAGCCUAAUUAUGUUCUGAUACCAGUUUGUUGAGGAGACUGAAGAGCGCUUGGAGCGGCAAUGGUUAAACGUCCAGGACCCACUAAAAGAGAGACAUCACACCGUUACCCAAAACCCUAAGGCAAUGAGUAUAUAUCCAACCUUUGCUUCAUUUCUAGUUUGAUGCUUCAUAAACUCACACUUAAUUCUUAAUAUUAUGCAUGAUAUAUCUAAUGGAAAGUUAAUUGUACACUUCACUUUUGUGUGAGAUUUGUGACGAUGUAGGUAUUGUGAUCCUGAGAAAAUUGCUCUAUAUUUGAAAACGAUUACCUUAUGGCAAAUUCUAUGGUACACCCACUACUUAUUAACAAUAUGAUAUGUGUACACACUUUAAAUUUGCACAUCUUAUGUUUGGGGGAUUAUUUUUUGUCACAAGACAGAAAAUAAAUCAUUUAAACACACUCAAAAUAUUUAUAUGUUGAAAAAUCCUUUUCGAACAAUAUUAUUUCCUAGCUGAAACUACUCGAAAUUGUUGUGAUAUUGCUCUUUUGUGCCAAAAGAGUCAAUAACGUAAAUUAAUAUUGUAGUUAAAACUUUUCUAUUUAAUUUCUUAAUCUCGUAGCUUGAACAUACUUCUUAGAAUUUUCUAGUAAUUUAAUAAUUGAAAUUUAACUCAAUCAGUUGAACAACGUAUUAUGGCAUAAAGGGAAAAAAACAUAUGUUAUGGCAUGAAAGUGAAACCGUGGUACUUGUUAAUAAUAAGUGGUUACAUGGAAGAUUUAACCCUAAAGACUAGGCAUGGAGUAUGAUAAGAGUCCAUGCUUUAUUUUACAUUUCUUAUUACAUCAUCAUUUACUGCAUGGGGAUCAUACACACAUGCAUGCUUCAUGGUUUUCAUGGACUUGCCCCACGUCCUCCCUUCCCUCCUCCUCCCCAUUUUCCACCACCGUGUCCUCCUCCUCCAUGUCCACCUCCUCCCCAGCCUCCACCACCGUGUCCUCCUCCUCCAUGUCCACCUCCUCCCCAGCCUCCACCACCGUGUCCUCCUCCUCCAUGUCCACCUCCUCCCCAGCCUCCACUACCACCGUGUCCUCCUCCUCCCCAUCCAUCUUUGGGUUCUACUGUCGCCCCGGCUGCAGAUACAGAGAACACUUUUUAAAUGUUCCUAAUACAAGUAUUUGCCUAAGCGGAUAGGCUACACCAUUAUUCAUGAUAUAAAGAAAAUAUUUUUCAUGCAUUAUUACCGUCAAUAAUAGAUUAUGAUUAUUAUUUGCAUGAAUUUUAAAUUAUAUAUAGAGUUUUUUUUUAAGAUGUCAAAUUAGUCCAGCGUAAUAGUCAUCGAAGAGAAUUAAAUCUGAAACCUUAAGAGGAUCAUGGUAUAAGGUCUCAAGUCAAUAUCAUCAUAUAAUUCAAGUAAUUUUUAAACCAAUAAAUAAGAGAUCAUUAAGAUGGAUAUGAUAAAUGUUCAACUUAAUUGACUAACAUUAUAAAGGGAAAAAAAACAGAGAAAAAACACAUACACUCUCAAGAGCACAUGGAUUAUAUUUAUGUAAAAUAAGUACCUUCUUUUCCAUCUUUGGACGGUUCAGUUGCUGCUGAAGCGAUAAGAAGUAGUGUGCAAAGGAAACACAAGAAUAUAACGGGUCUGAUAUUCAUCUUUGCUACUUAGGUUAUGUUGUUAAGUGUUGUUGUGUGAAGAAUAUUGUUGUUGUGAACAUGCUAUUUAUAGUGAUAAAAUGAAGGGAAAAGACAAUUAAAAGAAAAAAGGGAAUUUGUUUAGAUAAUUCGUUUGGCAGAUUGUGAGGCAAAUAGAAUGUGAAAAGUGUAUCCUCAUCAUCACCGAUUGAGUAAGUGAAGGCUUUGAAUGAGACACGUCUGUAAAACGAGGUAAGCAAGUUUGUAAAACGAUGGCAAGUGGCAGUUUGACUAAGAGAAUAUUUAAUUAGGUUAUAUGUUUUUGGGACCAAGUUUUGUUCACUACCUUAAUUUUCAUACUUAAUAAAAAUGACGUGACAUAUUAUAAACUAGUAUUAUAUCCGUGAUAAGCACGAGCGAUUUUAGUCCUAUUUAAAAGAGAGAAUGUUGUGACGUAUUUAGUGUUAGUUACAUUUUAAUAUUGAAUAAAUUAAGAUUACAUAUAGGGAAACUAAUAAGUGAGAAAACUCGUAUAAAUGUUUUAAAUUAUUUCGUUAAGAUGUGGUAUCAUUUUUACUUAGAUGUUGCUUGUCCAAUUGAUCGAUUCACACCAUUGUUAACUUCUCCAGGAAGUUCAACAAUGGAAGCAUAGCCCGGUUCGACUUAGUGGGGGAAGGGUAAGUGGUUCUUAGUGGUAGAUCACGUAUGCGGAGAGUCUUAUACUUGAAGGAGAAAAUUUAAUGCGUCAAGUGUGGGUUAAUGUUCUACAUUAGAUCCAAGAGUAUAUGUUGAGAAACACGUAGGAUAUAAGACACAUAUAACUAAUGCCUUAAAUUUAGGGUGAAUUUGUAGUGUCAAAACUACGACCUUAAAGUUUAGGGUGAAUUUGUAUUGUCAAUAUCACUUUGUUUGAUUUUUCUUAGUGUAAUAGAUGAUCAAACUUGAUGUAGGAUCUCCGAUAGUAACAAUAUUAUCAUAAGUUGUUCUUUUAGUUUCUUUAAAAAAAAGUUGUUCUUAAUUUAGUUUGUGGAUGUCAUUUGUUUAAUUUUUUUCUUAAAAUUUAGUUUUGGGAUGUCACUCGCUUUCAUUCUUCUUCAUUUUUUAUUCAACAUUCAUUAUUUCAAAUUUCUUAUCUUUUAGUCUUUAGAAAAAUCUGACAAUAGAAAAAUGCAAUGUAUUAUGUUGAGUUGACAAAAUACAUGCUUAUUUGAAAUUUUAAAUUGAUGUGAUGUUUUUUAAUUGAGUCUAAUAUUUAGUAAAAGAAUUAUCCAAAAUCUCCAACGGUAAAAUUAUCAGCAACUCACUCUAUUCCUUUGGGUGUGUUUGGAUGGAGGGGAAAGGAGUGAAGGUUUACUUUUCAUUUUUAAAUUACAGACACUAUGAAAUGUUUUAUAAAAAGUUAACAUAUUAACAUGAUAAACGAUCAUAUAAUACUUCAAUCACACUUAAUCUAUUUUAGAAAAUAUAUUAUAUAGUCCGUAAUUUAAAAACGAAAUAUAAACACACCGCUCUCUUCCCCUCCUAAACCCUCAAUCCAAACACGCCCUUAAGAUCAAAGCGCCACUUCUUAUUUUUUACUUGUCCUUUCUCUCAUGUUAAAUUUUCUUUUCCAUCUUCUUUAUUUUCUAAUUUAUUUUCUCUCUUAUCAUAAAAUAAAGAAACAAAUAUCUCCCUCCAUGAAAUCGUCGUCAACCCACCAUUUUUACCACGUUGUACCUUAAUCUGACCUUAUUGGUUCUAGGUCAUCAAAUCACAUAUCCAAUGAAUCUCACACUCCCUCCAUGAAUCUCACACUUAAAUGAUCUUAUUGGUUCUAGUUCACCGUUUUUAUGCACAUUAGCGCAAUAAGAAAGAAGAUAGACCGAUAUGGAGUAUCCGUCUUAACGAUAGUUUGAUAUAAUAAAUAUUAGCAUGAUGAUACAUUCACCGCUUUUUUUUUUAAGUUCAUCAAUAUCAUCACAAUACAUAGUGUGAUGCAUAUUUAUACUUGAUUACCACUUAAUUAUGAAAUAUCCAUACUAUUAGCAAGAUAAUUUUCUUUCCUUUUGAUGGAAAAUCAAACAUAUAAAAAACGGAAUAUCUACUCAAGAUCCACAAAGCAAUACAAAAGGAAAUUGACAACAACACUGAUUGUUGUCUUUCUAUAUAACCACUCUUGAUAAACACACAACGUUAUUUAUGCAUGAAAUUUAUUACUUAGAAGUUCACCAUGCAUGAUGAUAUCAUUAUGAUCAGUUACGAGUGUUGUUCUCUGUUUGCAUGGCAACAGCUUCACCAGCAUAUGAGCAACACUUUCUGCAACUCCCAUAAUACCUGUCACCGCAACAGCCAUAGCGACAAUAAUUACCACCACGGUUUCCAGGAUAACCACCACCAUAGUUACCACCACGGUUUCCAGGGUAACCACCACGGUUUCUAGGAUAACCACCACCAUAAUUACCACCACCACCACGACCAGGAUAGCCCCCACCAUAGCUUCCAUAUUUGGCAUCAUUUAAUUCAUUUGUUUGAUCAUCAGCCUCUGCAAACACAUUAUGUACGCACCAUUAUUUAUAAAAUUCAUUUUUACAAAAAAAUUGUAAGAGUUAAAAGUGAACUUAUUUUAGAGGUUCAUAUUAAACAAACUCACAUUUUGAUGGUGAAUUUUAAAUGACACAGAUUAUGCUUAGAAUCAUGUUUAACAGUUUUAGCAUUGCAGUGUGGAUCGGUUUGGAGGCAAAAUUUCAUACAAUUCAAAAUCAAUUUACACCUAGUUCGAUUUGAUUCAUAACAUAAUAUAAAAUAUAUUAAAAAUUAAUAUUAUGAAAUAAUAGUGAUUAAAUAUAUUUGAAACAUAUAGAAUAAUAAAAAAAAUUAAAUUAAACUUCCUUCAAAAAAAAAAACUAAAUUAAACUAAUAAGUAUCAUUGAAAAAAUUUAAAAUCAAUAUGAAUAAUAGAUCAAUGACAUAUAUUAGACUAAAAAAAAGAUAGAAAUUCAGAUAUGCGUAUAUGGUUUGCUAAAACACACCUUAAUAAAAAUCGGUAGGUAUACCCUAACAAACUAUAUAUAUAUAUAUAUCAAUUUAUUUAUUUUUUGCAUCAAUUUGGAUGUGAAACUCACAUAUUAAACAACCCCAUGAAAUAGAGCUUCUAGCGGUGGAGUGUUCAAUUUUGAAAUGUGUCAUGUCACCGGCAUUUCUGAAGGCAUUAUUAUCGAGGAAAAAAGAAAUACAAAAUACUUAUAAAAUGCUCAUGAAAAUGUACAAUCUCACCUUUUUGGGUAUUAGAGGAUGCCUCAGUUAAGUCCCUAGCCGAAACCUCUGAGGAGAUAAGAAGAAUGAUAGCCAAUAGACCUAGGAUAAGGAUUGCUUUUUUCGAAUCCAUUGUUCAAUACCAAUUCAAAUGGGAUAUUUGGUAGCCAAUGAUGAGAAAACUUGUAAGAAAGUAAGCUCUAUAUAUAAUGGAUGGAGAGAUAGGGAUCAAUACUAAAACCAUUACUUAGUAGUUGGGAAGGUAGCUAGUAUCUAUUGUAAUUCAAUCUUAUCUUAAUGUGGUGAGGUACAUAGUCUUUUUCCGAUUCAUUUUGAGUAGUAAAGAUCGGGGGGUAGGAAAUGAAGCAGAUCUAGAGCAGUUAAUGUCUGUGCUAUGUCUACUUGCUAACAUGGGCAUAAUUCAAUGUCAACUAUUGUUAAUACUAAAAAUUAAAAUAUUUUGACAUGUUAUAAAGUGUAAAGGGAUUUCGAUCAAGAGCAUACAGACUUCGAUAUACUGCAUUUUCGACCAAAUGUUUUAAUGUAUUGCAUGCACAUGAUUUUUGACCAAAGAUAAGGAGUUACAAUUGGAGUGCAUGCAAGUUAUUUUCUAGUGUUUUGUAAUUAUGCCAACUGUAGGGGUAUGACUCUAAUUAUAGGAAGUUAUUGGUAGUUUUUACUGCAAGGUCUAUAUAUAUAUCAGUUUGUAAUAAGAACAAAGGGUUGGAUCCCAUUUUCGGAAAUCCUUGUAACACUACAAGAAACAUUACCUUUUGUCAGGGGCAAAACCCUUGUCAAAAGGACAGAAUCCUUGGGAAAAAGGACGUUUGUGAGGGAAUUUCCCAAUGGCGGAAGCAAUGGCAAAAGCCCUCGUCGCAAACAUUUUGCCAGGGGUUACACCCCUGGGACAAAAACGAGGGGCUCAACCCCUGGUAUAUGGCGUGGCUUGUUCCCUGUCAUAACCUCUGGCAAAAUCCCUCAAUUUUUUCUACUGUGCAGUCUGCUCUCUUCCGACACACUGACUGACUGAUGGAAGGUCAGAUCAAGUCAGGAAAAAAAUCAGAGACUUGCGAGGUGUUUAACCCCUGGCUCUAAAUUUGAUUGUAGGUCCUUUUCAGCUAUUGAUUUAGAAUAUUAGGGUAUAAACAAUGAUAUUAGCCUGAGAUUUUCACCAAAUCAAAAUUAUAACUUGUAACAAUGCAAAUGUUUUUGUUUCCUACGAUAAAUUAUCAACUUACUCUAAAUUUUAUUGACAAUAUUCAUUUAUCGUCCUUCUAUUUCAAAAUAUCAAGUAAUAUGUGAUUAAAUUAUAACAUGUGUUAUUGACAUUGGUUUAUAAGGUUAGUGUUGGUGUGUCAUUAUCAUGGUCCGCACGUGUAAAAUCUCAGAGAAACUAAACUCAUUUUCUAACUAACUUUUCAAUCUGAAUUUCUGAUUUUUCAUUAAUUGUGAAAACUGUUACAAUCAUUCUUAUAUAGGAGACUGAGGGUUACCUGAUAUAGCAGGUUAACCUGAUAUACUACAGGCAGGUGGCAGUCACUUGACAGUUGUUCAUAGCUGUCAAGUGCCAACUGUUAUCCACUAUAUCUAUUACAAGCAUAUACAAGUUACUACUCUUAUACUCCCCCCUCAAACUCAGUGGGGUGUGAAAUCACAUUGAGUUUGGAUCUCAUUAAAAGAAACUUUGAAGUGGAGACAGGUUUGGUGAGAAUAUCUGCCCACUGAUCAGUACCAGGAAUAUGAACUAUGGAGAGUUGCUUGGCAAUGAUCUUUUCCCUGACAAAAAAGAGGUCUAUCUCCAUAUGCUUUGUUCUGGUGUGUAAAAUGGGAUUAUCACAGUAAACGGUGAGAUUGUUAAAGGGAACAGUGAGCUCCUGUAACAAUGUCUGGACCCAGAGAGCAUCAGCUGUAGCUUGUGCCAAAGCCCUGUAUUCAGCUUCUGUACUUGAUCUGGCCACAACAGGCUGCUUCUUGGACCACCAUGAAAUGAGAUUGGGACCAAAGAAAAUUGCAGCACCAAAAGUGGAUCUUCUGUCAUCUGGAUCAGCAGCCUAGUCAGCAUCACAAAAAACAUGAAGUGAGAGAGGUUUGUGAAUUGGAGCAGGAUGCAACUCAAGUCCAAAGGUGAAGAUUCCUUUUAAGUAUCUGAGAAUUCUCUUGACAGCAACCCAGUGGGAUUCAAGAGGGUUGGACAUGAAUUGGCAUACCUUAUUCACAGAGUAAGCUAUCUCAGGCCUGGUAAUAGUUGCAUAUUGCAGAGAGCCAACAACAGAUCUGUAAGAGAGGGAUCUGAGAAGGUGUCUGAUCCAAUUUUAGACAAUUUACAACUGGACACCAUAGGAGUAUUGAUGGAGUUGCACUCAAGCAUAUGUGUUUUGGCUAGUAAAUCAUUAAUGUAUUUACUUUGAGUGAGCAAAAGAGAAUUGUUGGGAAGAUGCUUCACUUCAAUGCCAAGAAAAUAUUCCAACAGACCAAGUUGCUUAAGGCUAAACACUGAAUCAAGUUGCUUAACUAAAGCAGAAACCAAUGAAGAAGAACUACCAGUCAUAAUUAUGUCAUCUACAUAAACAAGUAGAUAAACAACUUGUUUCUGCUUGGCAUAGGUAAACAAAGAGGGAUCACAUUUACUAGCCUGAAAGCCAAACUGAAUGAGAGCAGUAGUUAACCUUUCAAACCACUGCCUGGGUGCUUGUUUAAGACCAUAAAGAGCCUUAUGGAGUUUGCACACUAAUGUAGAAUCAGAAUGUUCAAAACCUGGAGGUUGCUGCAUGUAAACUUCUUCUUCAAGAAUACCAUUGAGAAAGGCAUUGUUAACGUCCAAUUGCUGGAUAGGCCACUUGUAUGAUAAGGCAAGAGUAAGUAUGAGUCUAAUAGUGAUGGGUUUGAUCACAGGUGAGAAAGUUUCAGUGAAAUCAAAGCCUUGCACUUGAUGAAAUCCUUUAGCAACCAGACGAGCUUUGAACUUAUUUAGAGUACCAUCAGAGUUUUCUUUGACUCUAAAUACCCAUGUACACCCAAUGGCUUUCCUAUUGGGAGGCAAAGGCACCAGGGACCAUGUGCUGUUUUUCUGCAGUGCGUCAAAUUCAUCCUGCAUUGCAGCACGUCACUUAGGAUCAAGUAAGGCCUGCUUAACAUUCUUAGGUUCAGUGUAGGUGAGAAAAAUGUUGGGGUUAAGACGAGGGAGGACAAUACCAGACUUAGAACGAGUUUGCAUAGGGUGAGAAUUAACAGGUAAAGGGGCAGUAGUAUGUGUAGAGUGUUGGGAAGCUGUAAAUGAUUGAGGUUCAAUGUUAGUUGCUGAUGUAGUAGUAGGGACAAGAGAAUUAGGAGGGCUGGGGGAGGCCAUUUGAGAGGUAGGAGAAGAUGAGGUGGAUUGAUUAUGAAAGUUAGAAGGAAGGUCAGAAGGAUGUAUGGGUAAAGAGGACAGAGAGACAUCUUGGAUAGGGUGAAGAGGAUCAUAGGUGUAAUUUUGAAAUAAUGAAAGAUAAGGAAAUUUAGACUCAUUAAAGAGAACAUCCUUGGAUAUAAAGAUACGACCACUAGGAGACAUGCACUUAUACCCUUUGUGAGUGGUGGAAUAUCCCAAAAAAAGACAUUCAUGAGACCUAAAGUCAAACUUGUGUGAAUUAUAGGGCCUUAACAAAGGAAAGCAAGAGCAGCCAAACACUUUUAAAAAAUGAUAGUCAAGCAUUUUGUGAAACAGAGUUUGAAAAGGAAUUUGAAACUGUAAAGAGGCAGUAGGUAGUCUGUUUGUAAGGUAAACAACAGCUAGAAAAGCAUGAUCCCAAUAAGUCAAAGGAAGGGAAGCAUGGCUAAGAAGAGUUAGACCCAAAUCCACAAUAUGUCUAUGUUUUCUUUCUAUGACACCAUUUUGAUGGUGAGUGUGAGGACAAAUGAGUCUGUGAGUGAUUCCUAAACCAGUAAGAUAUUGAGUAAAAGAUCUGAAUUCACCCCCCCCCCCCAAUCAGUUUGAAUAGAUUUAAUGGAAUGACCUAGCUGAAGUUCAACCAUAGAUUUAAAUUGCAUGAAAACAGUAAGAGCAUCAGACUUGUUUUUAAGCAAAUAAAUCAGGUGAAUCUAGAAAAAGCAUCAACAAAGGUUAUAUAAUAGUGGUAACCAAGAGAGGAAACAGUUGGUGAAGGACCCCAUAAAUCACUAAACACAAGUUGAAGAGGGUGAGUGUAUAUAGUGUGUGAAGUGGGUGAAUGUAACCUGUGAGCUUUACCUAUACAACAAGCAUUGCAAAAAGUGGAAAUAUCUUUUUCUUUAUUGAUUGUGGAAAUAUUACAAUGUUGUAAAACAAGUUUAAGAGUAUGAUUAUUAGGGUGUCCUAGUCUUUGAUGCCACAAAUUGUGAGAUUUAGAUGGCAUCUGAUUAUUACAAGAAGGAAAUAUGGUAUUAAUAGUGGAAUCAGGAGAAGUAAAGAAAACAGAAGGGGAUGAGCACUUAGCAGUGUCCAUGGAGAGACUGGGAAAGGUGUAAAGACCAUCAGGACCAACACUGCCACGAAGGAGAACUUCUUUAGUGUCCUGAGAUUUAACAACACAAUAGUCAGCAUGAAAUUCAAAAAAUACAGUAUUAUCUUUAGCAAACUGACUGACACUGAGAAGGUUUUUGGUAAUGUCUGGUACAUUAAGUAAUUUAUUAAGGCUUAAGGUUUUAUGUGGUUUAAGGGGUGAGGGAAAAACACUGGAACCAUAAGAAUGUAUUGGCACACCUUGACCAUUUCCUACGAAGAGUUGGUCAGGACCUUCAAAAAAGGACUGCUCCUGAAUGUUUAUAGCAUCACCAGUCACAUGAAAAGAGGCAGCAGAGUCAGGAAACCAAGUGGAAGAUCCACUUGUAGAUGGAGCAUUAAUCAUCAUGGCACUUGGUUGAGAGAACUGCACAGAGGGAGGCCUUUGUUGAGCAGAAGGACGAGGCCAGUUGUUGAAAGAGCCAUAUCCCAGAGAGUGCUGAUUGUAUCCACCAUAAGGAGCACCAUAAGGCAUCAUACUAGGAGAUGCAAGAUGAUAAGGAUCAAUAGGAGCAUUAUUGAAUCCCUGAAAACCUUGGAAAUUAGGUGGAAUUUGUGGCUGAAACUGUUGGUUAAACCUGUGCCAGCAUGUAGAAGCUGGAUGUCCAAACCUAAAACAGACUUGGCACUGGACAUUAGAAAGUCUGCCUCCUCUACCACGACCUCUGCCAGAUCUACCUCCUCUACCACGAUUUGAACCAAAAUUGGGAGUAAAAUUAGGGUUGAAGGUGGAGUGAUCUGAACCAGUAGUAACAUUAACAGAGGCUUGUGACUGAGAGGAUUCAGAGGGAGAUGAAGCCUGAGAUGCAGAAGAUGAAGUAAGGUUGAUAGAAGCCACAUCUUCAAGAACCUUUUUCUUGAAUUUAUCAAGACGUGUUUCAUGAGCAAGAAGAAGAGACUCAACUUCGUCAACGUCAAUAACAUCAAAUUUGCUUUCCACUACAGAUAUAACAGGACUAAAAUCUUGCGGUAAACCUUCUAAAAUCACAUCCAAAUGUUGAUUAACAGGAACUGGAUCUCCUAUAGAGGCUAGAUUAUCAACAAGAUCACGAAUACGAAGAAGAUAAUCCUGUACCGUAAGAUUUGCAAGAGAAGUAGAACGCAGUUCAACACUAAGUUGACGCGCCUUCGCACGCAUCUGUUUGUGAAAAUAUGCCACAAGUUUAUCCCAAAGUUCAUACGCAUGAGAGCAACCAAUGAACCGAGCCAAAAUUGCACUGGAAAGAGUGUAUUGAAGCCACGAUAAGAGCAUCUGAUCAGUUAAACGCCAUUUGCGAAAAGCAGGAUUGAGCGUACCAGUAGCGCGAUCUUGCGCAUUGAGAAAACAAGGAGGAACAAUCGGCGCAACGAUGAAACCGUCAAGGUUGUGAGCAUUGAUGUACGGUGCAACCUGUUGACGCCAUAGCAGAAAAUUCUUUUCCGUCAAUUUCUCAGAGAUCUUGAGUGCGAAGGCAAAUUUGGAACGAUCCGAGUCAUUAUCUUCAAGAAACGAGUCGAGCGGUAUAGAAUUGAUCGGAAUCGCCGUCGGAAUAGGUGUCUCCGGUGGCAGAGACGGUGGUUGAGACACCAUGGAUCUAGAGGCUAAUCUGAUACCAUGUAAAAUCUUAGAGAAACUAAACUCAUUUUCUAACUAACUUUUCAAUCUGAAUUUCUGAUUUUUCAUUAAUUGUGAAAACUGUUACAAUCAGUCUUAUAUAGGAGACUGAGGGUUACCUGAUAUAGCAGGUUAACCUGAUAUACUACAGGCAGGUGGCAGUCACUUGACAGUUGUUCAUAGCUGUCAAGUGCCAACUGUUAUCCACUAUAUCUAUUACAAGCAUAUACAAGUUACUACUCUUAUAGCACAGAAGCAAUCAAGAUAAAAGAAAGAAGGCUGAAUAGCAGUUUUAACCCUAUAAGUUUUAAGAAGUUGCGAUUUUGGUCCCCUAAAAAAAAAAAAAAACUAUAAACCGUCCCAUAAGUUUUGCUCAUGUGGCAGUUUUGGGCCCAUGGAAUUUUGACUCGGUCAACGCACACGUGUGUAUUUAUUUAUUUUUUAAAAAAUAUAUUUUAAAUAAGUAAAAAAUAAAAACCUUUUUUAUUUUUCUAAUAAAAAAUAUUUUUUUAAAAAAUAAAAAAAUAAAAUAAAAAAUAAUUAUUUUUUAAUUACAAAAAUAAAACAAUUAUUUUUUAAAUAAUUUAAAAAUAAAAAUAAAAAUACACAUGACAUCCACGUGUGCGUUGACUGAGUCAAAAUUGGCCUAGGGGCCAAAACUCCCACAGGGCGAAACUUAGGGGUUUUGUAGUUUUUUUUUCUUAAGGGAUCAAAAUCACAACUUCUUAAAACUUAUGUGGCUAAAACUUAGACGGCAAAACUGCUAUUAAGCCAAGAAAUAACUUCAAUGGCGAAAUGCAAUGUUUCUCCUUCCUCAUGUAAAAUUGAACUUUGUUCGGUUUGAAGUACUACACAGUUGUUGGCUAUGCUGAUUCCUCAACUUUUUUCCUUGGAUUCACUUAGCAAAAUAAAUUUCUACGCGAAUUAUAAACUGUAAAUGCAGUAGUUUUAAUUAAUGGUAAAUUAUGAAGGCAAAAACACCAAAAUUUGGUGUGUAAAUGAAGUAGAUUCAAUUAAUACUUUUAUUUAUACAAUUAUACUAAUUAUUAAUGAAGCUAAAAAAAUUACACCCUCAGGAUACAUCUUAGCAACCGAUGGCAAUUGGUUCGUCGAUAAAUCAAAAAGACGUCAAAACCUAUCACACAACCGUUCAUUGUUAACCCGUUCCCUCCACAGACACCCAUCAUAUAAUUCCACCAAAUUGAUCCUAAUCACCCUCCCUCUCUAAUACGACCAUCAUCAAACCCAUACCUUACCCAUAACAUCUUGUACCAAUAACUCGCUUGAUCCGCAUGCAUCCUCCAAUUAACACCACUUUUCUAACAAUGCGAAAUUAAAUUGUUGAAUCCUACAUACGCCCAACCCUCCAUUCUCCUUGACCAAUUAAACUGGGUUCCAAUUAACCCACAUAAUUUUUCUAAAAUUCUCAUAAGCCCUCAUCCUCCAACAAUAAAGAACUUUUAAAAUGAACCUACAUAAAAUUGACAUUUAAAUACAGAAAUUAAUUAGACUGAAACAUCCAUUUGAUAUUGAUUUUUUUUAAAAGAAAAAUGGUAUGCCUAUCUUGGUACAUUGUAUUUCUUUUACGGUUGGUACAUUGUACAUUAAUUUAGAAAAUAAUCAUGUACCAAAAAAAAUAAAAUAAUAAUAAUCAUAAAUAAUGGUUAUGAAUGUCACUCUUCAUAUUAACUAUUAUUCAAACUACGUGUUAUUUCUCCAAAAUAAAUAAAUAGUAACAUGUUAGUUUUAUAUAUGCAUUUUUUUUCAGCUAGGUAAUCUAUUGGAUAGAAUUUCACCCUUUUAAGGUGAAUAAAUGAAGAAUCCAAGUUCGAACUCCGACUCCUUCAUAUAUAAUGCAUUUUUCUGUCAACUUAAUAUGAAAAUCUUUUACCAAUAUAAUAUUCAACUAACUAACAUAUAUGAUUUCUCAAUAGAAUAAUAUUUUAACAAAAUAUUAUAGUUUUGUUUCAUUUAUUCAUGAUUGUUGCGAAUUCGAUGAAAAAUCACACCAAUAACAAACUUGAUGUGUGGAGCAAGGGAUAAUCAGGCAACCAAAAUCAAAGUGUAUAGAACAAUUAUAAACACAAGCUAAAAGUAGAAAACAACAGCGAGAGAAAAAGAAGAGAGAACACAAAAGAAUUUGUUGACCUAGUUCGAUCUAAAUUGACCUAGUCUGGGGGAGAGAGCAGACAUCUGUUUCACUAUAUGAUGAGUAACGUUACAAAAGAGAUAUCAAUGGAUUACAAUAAUAAGUCUCCAGCCUAAUUUUACCCAAAGUUCCAAUCUCCUCCCGUAACCAAGAGAUUCAAUCCUAAUAGUAUUUUCCAAGGUGAAUCAACCCUCAAACCCUAGUGUUUGUUCCAAAGAGACAAACUCUAUACAAACCCUAGUUUCGUGAUUGUCAUUCUAAACCCUUGUUUCAGCCCCCUCUAUCUCAACGUUUACUCUGAUAUAAGGUCUAUAUUUAUAGUAAAAGUAUCGCUUAAAAUUUGAACAAAUCUGCACCCAAAAAUACGUUUCUGUUAUUCGUUGCCAACGCACCAUCGUGCCACGAAAAAACCAGUGACUUGCCUCAAAACUGAAACCUCCAAUCGUGCUAUGUUGCCCAGCCAUCGUGCCUAGAUUCUGCAGAAACCUAAUUUUAAGUUAACUCUCACAAUGAGAAAUCAAUAAUAACAUUUUAUUUAUUUAUUGAGAUGAUAUAAUAUAUCUAAACUAACAUAUAGCUUAUUACUUCAUCUUAAAUUUUAACUUAAAAGACAACGCAUCGAUCUUAGUGAGAUUAUAGUUUUCAUUCAUUUUUAAUUUAUUAUUUUGGUAUUUUUAGCAAAAAUAUUUUUUUUGGACAUCAACUUAUGUAUUUUUCCUCUAUAUGAUUGAUUUUUAUACUACAUUUUAAUUAAUUAUUUAAUCUAAUUUAGCCAUGGAAAAAAUUAAGGAAUAUAUUCUAAUAUUUUUAAAUUUCAUUUAUUUUUUGUGAAUUUAUUGACCUAACAUUAUCAUAGUCGCAAUCUCAUACUUAGCAUGAAUCACUACACACGUAAAGUAUAUAAGACAACUCUCAGAAGUCCUUAAAUUGAAAUUGACAGCGAGGAUGAACGAUAAUGAAAGUCGCCCAUUUAUUUUGAAUUUUUCUUUGAAAUAUUGGCAUUUAAUGGUACUCCUGUUGAUACAAACUAGUUCGCCGCCCCAUGCUAUUGCACGGGUCAAUGAUAAGUUUGACCGAAUGCAAAUCAUUGUUUAACAAAUUUUACUUGCACCUAUCCACCCUUAAUUUACAUUAACAGCAUCGUGUAUUGUCCAGUGAUUGGAUCUCAUAAUAAUUAUUAGUGCAUUGACAUUUACAUGGAUAUGAAGCGUGAACAACACUAAACCAAAUUUAGUCUAACCAUCCACUAAUGACAUUACCUUCAGGUAGUUGAAUCAUUUGUAUCAUUAUUUGUUCUAUUGAUCUAAUGUGUAUAGCUAUGUAUUUUUUUUUAUGGUGCUAUAUAAUUCUAAUGAAAUGGAAAACAAUGCACUUACAAAAAGACAUUCAUAUUCCAUACAUUCUUUAUUUAGAUUAUGCAGCACAUGUUUCACAUGGCAUUAACUCCCCCUACAUGCUUAGCAUUUUCAACUAAACUUGUGUUCAAUAUACAAUUGAAAAUAACAGUAGCAUCACACAUGUCAAACUUAAGUUUCCAAUCCAUACUGCAUAUAAAUAAAGAAUUGGACAUUUUUCGGUCCGAAAAUUAAGCAACAAAGAUAGAGUAAAAACACGACAUUUUUCGGUCUUCAUAACCAGAACCAAAGUUAAGCCAGAAGCUGAAAAAAUUGGACAGAUUGCAAGCAAUCCAACCUUGUAACACUAACAAACAAUCCAAUAGUAACCACAAACUCUGCUACCCCAAACGCAGAUGCAGAGCAGUACCUGUAGACAAACAACAAAACCUCAUCACCAUUCACAAAUAAAUAUGCACUCCCUCCGGUCUUGAACAAUAUAAUUUUUUUACCAAAUACUGUUCAACUUAAUGCUUAAAAUGACCAUAGGGAGUUCCAAGUGGAGAGAAGAUGUAUAGGGAUUGACAGAAUCAUAUCACACAAAAGCCUCAUCGCAUAGAUUGAGCAACUUACGUCAUUACAAAAGUCCUCUUCCUCUGCCUAUUCAUUGCAGAGACAUUCACCCGUGCAGUUACAGGCAAUUCUGAAUUUGUUCCAACAAUCUCAAUCUUCAUGGGCUUUCCAUCCAAAAGCACAUUGUUAUAUCGUUUAAGAGCAGCAAAUGCAUCACUUCUUCUAUUGUAGACAACUUCAGCUGAACCCUAUUACAUGGUGAAACAUUUAUGCUUAAUAAAACAUGACAACAACAUAGUUGAAAAGCUCAAAGGUAUAACACAAAACUGUUAACACUACUACUUUACAGAACAUAUAUUGUGUAGUUAAAGUUGAAGAAAAGACAGCAGCUAAAAAAUACAACUUUUCAAAUCAUUUACAGACUGUUUGGUGACCCUUAAUUUCAACAUGAGCGGCAAAAUAGCAAUUACCGAAUUAUUUUUUCAAAGCAAUUAAUGGCCAGCUUUCUAUGAAAUCCAUUUGGGGGCAUCUGAUACAAAACAAUCCCAGCCCAGUUGGAAAUUAGAAGCUAAAAUGUGAGAAAGACUGAUCUCAUAGAAGACCUUAAACUCAUAAGAAAUUAGUUUUAGGAGAUAACUUUCAAUUGGAUGCGGAUUGUUGAUCUCGUAAAAGACCUCAAACAGAUAAGAAAUUAGUUUUACGUUAUAAUUUCCAAUCGGGUGUGGAUUGUUUUGUGUUAUAACUCUCUCACUCAUACUUAGUUAUAGGUCACACAUGCAGUACCUUGUCAUACUUACCUGAAUUUUUUUGGUAAUGAUUUUAUCUUAUUAAACAUGUAAAUUCCCAAAUCAUCAAAUCUUAAGAGAUAAGAAUACACGCAUAUGACAACAACUCUCAUAUGUAUAGCUUCACAUUUGCAACCUGUAGAAGCCAACCACACAAAGAUUGCAUGAAUGAAACUUAAGUCUACAGUUACAUUCUUUACAAGUUAAAACUAACACAACAUACAAAGGUAUUUUAAUCAAAAUUUUAAGGCUGAAAGCGUAUUUCUUAGAGGACGUACCUGUUUGGUAGCGUAUUUCCGUCACCAAACGUGUGUUUGUGGAUGAUUUCCUCGCUAUCUACAGAAGCUCCAGAACCAAGCUUCUUCAGUUAACAUGGUUUUUCAACGCAAAAUUGCUUGAGACUUUGAUCAUUCAUCAAAAAAAUACAUGGUACUAAGAACCAUAAACAACCAUUGUCAACCAUCCUGUCUAAAUCCAACUCAAUGUAUCAAUACAGCCAAAAAGAAACAGGAAAAUUAAUACUUACCCAACCAGUCAAAAAGAUAACUCCAAAUAAGAGGAAGGCACUACCAUUCAUAAUCAAUGUCAAAGCUUCCUGUCAUGGCCGAUGUGCACCACGGUGACCCCUCCUCUAAUCCACCAAAAGAUGUAGUAUCCUAUUUAUAAUAAUUGCACGAAUAGAAAUGGGUCAUCAACAGUGGAUGAGUUCAUGUUUAAUCACACCAUGAUCUUCAUACAACGGUUCGAAUUUACGGCAAAUCACACCACUCCACCACCGACCUUGUCAAAGCCACCAUUCAAAACCUUCGUUCCACUUCCGGCACCGUCACCACCUCCGUAAUCACCGAAUCCUGCCAUUGUUCAGUCUUAACCUCUUGCAAUUUCAUUAGAGACCAUUAACAUUUUUGUAUAUUGAAGAAUCUUUUGCUGGAACAAAAGAAACUAACACAUCAAAAUAGCAAACAUAUUUUCAUAAAGGAAAAUAUAGAAAAUCAUAUCAUAUAGAUGUACUGAUAAAGGAGAAAGAACAUGAGACUGGAGGUUUUGCGAGGCAUGAUUUCAAACUCCAAAACUAAAAAUAAUUAGUACCAAUAAAACAAAUCACAUAAAAAUUCAAACUUUAAUCGAAAUAACUUACUACAGGAAGUGCAUCAAUGAAAUUACUAUAAAUUUUAUCAAGAGGGUGUGUAUUGUAAUCAACUGUGUACAAAUUGCGGCCAAAUUUAUAACCUAAACACAGAUCAAAAUGAAAAUUUCAAGACAAAUCAAAAUAAAAGACUAAAUUGAAAAGAAAAAAAAAACUUAAAACUAAAAAUUACCAUGUGUUAAUGAGGCUGAGACUCUGUUGGAUGGCCAAGCAAGCAAGACCCUAUCUCCCUUCAUUAACUCCACUAUGAUCCCCUUUCUAAUUUCAACACUGUCAACAAAAACUCUGAUAGAAGCUUCUAGAAACAGAAAACCCUCUCUACUACAAAACACCAUUGUCAUGAACGAUUAGCAACCUUACAAUAGGAUUCAGCAAGAAAACCAUUGGAUUCAACAUUUUUUCACAGAAUCAGAACCAAAAUUAGAAGAUAUUGAAAUCAUAAAACCGUGUAAGAAUUUAUUCGAAAAUGAAAAACGAAUUGUAACAUUGAUUUUGUGAGCUGAAAUAGGAAAUCAAAACCCACAAAGAUUUUGGGGUUGUGAAGAGGAAAAAGAAAAGAAGAGG